rnacentral:misc_RNA from 1 species
UUUUGGUUAAUGGCGGCUUACCUAGCAAUUGAGCUUGGUUGGUGGCUGUUCGCUGGGUGGUCUCGGGGAUGUCUACCGUAAAGGUGCAUGAGUGGUGUUUGGCUUGUUACGGGUGGUUGGCUCUUUGCUUGCGCAACAACUUCCACCUGGCAUGCCUCUUCAGUUUUGUGUCCAUGCUUGUAUCGCAUUGACGCAUUGUGGGUUUCUUGUGUUGUAUGCCUAAUCGAUGGUAUCGUUUGACGAAAUGAUGUUAGCUUCAUCUUGAGUCGCACUUGCGAUUCGAGAUGAACCAUAUAGCAGCCUUUGUGAUCCACUUAUUUGAUUGCACACGCGUUGAAUUUGUGGCUCAUUUAGCGAUGUUUGGACUCAUUGAUAUGGAACCUUCUGUAGGCAUGGGAUCUUUUAGUAGAUCCUUGUUUGCCCUAUUUAAGCGUUUCAAAUACGAUUUCCUAUCACGUUAAGACGUGGUAGGCUAUAUCGAAUAUGAAUG